rnacentral:rRNA from 1 species
UCCGUAGGUGAACAUGCGGAAGGAUCAUAG